rnacentral:ncRNA from 1 species
GAAAAAGUUCCGGGGUGCUAUUUUGAUAGCUGAGAUUGGCGUGAUGCCUGACCCGUAUAACCUGAUUCGGUUAAUACCGACGUAGGGAGAGCAUUAUAUCAGAAU